GGGGUUGUGGCUUAGAGGUAAAGCACUUGCCUAGCAUGCGUGAGGCACUGGGCUCAAUUCUCAGCACCA
rnacentral:tRNA from 1 species